CUACGGGAGGCAGCAGUAAGGAAUAUUGCGCAAUGGAGGCAACUCUGACGCAGCCAUGCCGCGUGCAGGACUGAAGGCCUUAUGGGUCGUAAACUGCUUUUAUUUAGGAAUAAACUCUUGUACGUGUACGAGACUGAAGGUACUAAAUGAAUAAGCACCGGCUAACUCCGUGCCAGCAGCCGCGGUAAUACGGAGGGUGCAAGCGUUAUCCGGAUUUAUUGGGUUUAAAGGGUGCGCAGGCGGACUAUUAAGUCAGAGGUGAAAUCCCGGAGCUCAACUCCGGAACUGCCAUUGAUACUGAUAGUCUUGAGUUUGGUUGAAGUGGGCGGAAUGUAGCAUGUAGCGGUGAAAUGCAUAGAUAUGCUACAGAACACCAAUCGCGAAGGCAGCUCACUAAGCCAAAACUGACGCUCAUGCACGAAAGCGUGGGGAUCAGACAGGAUUAGAUACCCGAGUAGUC
rnacentral:rRNA from 1 species